GCCGAUGUAGCUCAGACGGUAGAGCACGUCCAUGGUAAGGACGGGGUCGCCGGUUCGAUCCCGGCCAUCGGCU
rnacentral:tRNA from 1 species